rnacentral:rRNA from 1 species
CUUUKUGAAUWUWAUUURAASUCUGGCSUGCCCAAUGAUGUUUAUURAAUGGCCGCGGUAUACUGACCGUGCAAAGGUAGCAUAAUCAUUAGUUUUUUAAUUGGAAGCUUGUAUGAAAGGUCGRAUGAGGAAAUUUCUGUCUCAGAUAAGAUUACUUAGAAUUUUAUUAUUUUGUAAAAAGGCAAAAAUGAUCAUAAAAGACGAGAAGACCCUAUAGAGUUUUAUAAUUUAAAUAGAAAUGAUAAUUAGGAUACUUUUUUUUAUUUAUUUGAAUUAUUUGGUUGGGGUGAUUGAAUAAUUUAAUAAACUUUUUUUAGUGGWUUUCACUGAUGUGUGAAUAAAUGAUCCUUAUUAAAGAUUAAAAGAAAAAAUUACCUUAGGGAUAACAGCGUAAUUUUCCUAGAGAGUUCAUAUCGAAAGGAGAGUUUGCGRCCUCGAUGUUGGAUUAAAAUUAAGGUCUGGUGUAGCAGCUAGA